UUCCUCUUGUCGAGACUCUCUCCAUUUUUAGUGUAGUGCAGAAAUCAGAAAAAAAAGCUCUCUCUUCUCUCUUUCUGCUUCUCUCUGUUGGCACAGCAAGCAGUAAGAGCACCCCAAAGAACCCAUCUUCUUCUUUGUAUACAGCAGGAAACCAGAAACUCUUCAUCUUCUAUGUUUCUUUUCCAACCCGGAGCAACUCUCUCCUUCGUUCUUCUUUCUUCUCUGUUCUCCUUCUUUCCCGUUCUUCCCUUUACUCUCUCUUGCCGAGAGACACAGGGAGACUGAACGAGAGAGUGAGAGACCGUGAGAUGGAGAGAAGAAACUGAGUAGGAGACCCAGAAACCUUCCCCCUCCUUCAAUCGGUGAAGAAACCAAAACAGAGCAACUCAUUCCUUCUUAAAGCUGCAGAAAAAUCUUCAAAGAAAAAUCAAACCUCUUGCUCUCUCUCUCACCUGAUUAUAUCUGUAAACAUUUCUUGAAGCUAGAAGAAUUGCUCAUGAGAUUGUGGUGAUAACUGCAAUCUCAUGCGAGUUUUUGCAGGGUGGAUUAAAGGUCAAGACUAUUGGAAUAAUUAUUUUUAUAUGAAAUAUUUGUUAUGUUGGAGAAGACAAUAAUUAUGUAUUUAUUAAGUGC